rnacentral:rRNA from 1 species
CGCUGAACUUAAGCAUAUCAAUAAGCGGAGGAAAAGAAACUAACAAGGAUUCCCCUAGUAACGGCGAGUGAAGAGGGAUCAGCCCAAAUUUGUAAUCUGGCUCUUCCAGAGUCUGAGUUGUAAUUUUAAGAACUGUUUUCUGCUUUGGACCAUGUACAAGUCUGUUGAAAUGCAGCAUCAUUGAGGGUGAGAAUCCUGUUCAUGAUAUGGACUACCAAGGCUUUAUGAUACAGUCUCCAAGAGUCGAGUUGUUUGGGAAUGCAGCUCAAAGUGGGUGGUAAAUUCCAUCUAAGGCUAAAUAUUGGUGAGAGACCGAUAGCAAACAAGUACCGUGAGGGAAAGAUGAAAAGAACUUUGGAAAGAGAGUUAACAGUACGUGAAAUUGUUAAAAGGGAAACAGUUGAAGUUAGACUUGUUGUUGUUGGUUCAGCUCUUUAAGGGUGUUUUCUGAUGAUUAACAAACCAACAUCAAUUUUUGGGUGUUGGAUAAGGGUCAUUGAAAUGUAGCAGUUUUGGCUGUGUUAUAGUCUUUGACUUGGAUACAAUGCCUGGGAUUGAGGAAUGCAGUAAGCCAUUUAUUUGGUGGGACAAUUUAUUGUUCUUCUUACUGAGGAU